AUUGAACGCUGGCGGCAGGCCUAACACAUGCCAGUCGAGCGGAUGAAGGGAGCUUGCUCCUGGAUUCAGCGGCGGACGGGUGAGUAAUGCCUAGGAAUCUGCCUGGUAGUGGGGGGUAACGUCCGGAAACGGGCGCUAAUACCGCAUACGUCCUGAGGGAGAAAGUGGGGGAUCUUCGGACCUCACGCUAUCAGAUGAGCCUAGGUCGGAUUAGCUAGUUGGUGGGGUAAAGGCCUACCAAGGCGACGAUCCGUAACUGGUCUGAGAGGAUGAUCAGUCACACUGGAACUGAGACACGGUCCAGACUCCUACGGGAGGCAGCAGUGGGGAAUAUUGGACAAUGGGCGAAAGCCUGAUCCAGCCAUGCCGCGUGUGUGAAGAAGGUCUUCGGAUUGUAAAGCACUUUAAGUUGGGAGGAAGGGCAGUAAGUUAAUACCUUGCUGUUUUGACGUUACCAACAGAAUAAGCAACGGCUAACUUCGUG
rnacentral:rRNA from 1 species